rnacentral:rRNA from 1 species
ACGGUAACGCGGACUUCGGUCUGGCGACGAGUGGCGAACGGGUGAGUAAUGCAUCGGAACGUAUCCAUUUGUGGGGGAUAGCCCGGCGAAAGCCGGAUUAAUACCGCAUAAUCUCCGAGGAGGAAAGUGGGGGACCUUCGGGCCUUACGCUGAUGGAGCGGCUGAUGUCGGAUUAGCUUGUUGGUAGGGUAAAGGCCUACCAAGGCGACGAUCCGUAGCUGGUCUGAGAGGACGACCAGCCACACUGGAACUGAGACACGGUCCAGACUCCUACGGGAGGCAGCAGUGGGGAAUUUUGGACAAUGGGGGCAACCCUGAUCCAGCCAUGCCGCGUGCGGGAAGAAGGCCUUCGGGUUGUAAACCGCUUUCAGACGGAAAGAAACAGUGCAAGCUAAUACCUUGUACGAAUGACGGUACCGUCAGAAGAAGCACCGGCUAACUACGUGCCAGCAGCCGCGGUAAUACGUAGGGUGCGAGCGUUAAUCGGAAUUACUGGGCGUAAAGAGUGCGCAGGCGGCUCUCUAAGACAGGUGUGAAAUCCCCGGGCUUAACCUGGGAAUGGCGCUUGUGACUGGAGAGCUAGAGUGUGGCAGAGGGGAAUGGAAUUCCUGGUGUAGCAGUGAAAUGCGUAGAUAUCAGGAGGAACACCGAUGGCGAAGGCAGUUCCCUGGGCCAACACUGACGCUCAUGCACGAAAGCGUGGGGAGCAAACAGGAUUAGAUACCCUGGUAGUCCACGCCCUAAACGAUGUCAACUAGUUGUUGGGGAAGGAGACUUCUUUAGUAACGUAGCUAACGCGUGAAGUUGACCGCCUGGGGAGUACGGCCGCAAGGUUAAAACUCAAAGGAAUUGACGGGG